GCUCCGGUAGCCUAGCGGACAGAGUGUCCGCCUCGGAUGCGGGAGGUCGCGAGUUCAAACCUCGGCCAAGUCA